rnacentral:rRNA from 1 species
UACGUAGGGGGCAAGCGUUGUCCGGAAUUAUUGGGCGUAAAGCGCGCGCAGGCGGUUCUUUAAGUCUGGUGUCUAAGUGCGGGGCUCAACCCCGUGAUGCACUGGAAACUGGGGAACUUGAGUGCAGAAGAGGAGAGCGGAAUUCCACGUGUAGCGGUGAAAUGCGUAGAUACUGGGAGGAACACCGGUGGCGAAGGCGGCUACCUGGACCGGUUCUGACGCUGAUGCGCGAAAGCGUGGGUAGCAAACAGG